rnacentral:ncRNA from 2 species
GGUCACGAGCGCCAGCGUCAAGCCCCGGCUUGCUGGCCGGCAACCCUUCUCCAUGUAGGGGUGCCCCGGGUGAGGACCAGGCCGCGCAGUCCGCCGUGAGGGCGGGACUGCGGCAAGACGUGGAC